CUCUCUCUAGUCCGUGUUCAGACCAAUCAAACGCGUUUCUUCCCGGAGGGCGCUCUGACCCGAGGGUGUUGACACAGCCCAAGGCCGCCAUCAUUAUUUUCCUGGGACCCAGGAUGGACAGUGUGAGAGACUACAGUUUGGGUUAACCCUUUUAUGGGUGGAGUGGCCUUGUUACCGCAAGUGUUAACCCUUUAGCAACUAGAAUUGCCUGUAACUCGUUGCGCUGCACGUUGCAUUACUUUGUGUUGCAAGCCUGUCUAGGUGAGAAAGGGUUUGUGUCAUUUAGUCUCGUUUCAAUUUUGUUGACCUAAACACACUGUGAUGGCUUUAUUUUUAAUUUUUUUUUUUUUAUAUAUAUUUUGUUCUGUGUGCGUGGGUUUUGUUUCUUAAAAAUAUGUAUUUUUGUGAACGGCGAUAGUGUUAAUAAAAUUUCAGUGAGAUUUU